rnacentral:rRNA from 1 species
UUGGAGAAGGUUAGAUCAGCCAUCUGUUGGAAUAGGUGGUUUAAGCGUGUAGGCGUGCUCUUUAGGCAAAUCCGGAGAGCUUAGCUGAGGCGUGAUGACGAGCUCUCUUUGAGAGUGAAGUGAUUGAUACCAUGCUUCCAGGAAAAGCCUCUAAGCUUCAGUCAUAGAGUGACCGUACCGCAAACCGACACAGGUGGGCAGGUAGAAGAUACUAAGGCGCUUGAGAGAACUCAGGAGAAGGAACUCGGCAAAUUGAUACCGUAACUUCGGGAGAAGGUAUGCCUCAUUAGCUUGUAGGAGAACAUCCGAAGGGCGAAGAGGCCGCAGAGAAUCGGUGGCUGCGACUGUUUAUUAAAAACACAGCACUCUGCAAACACGAAAGUGGACGUAUAGGGUGUGACGCCUGCCCGGUGCCGGAAGGUUAAGUGAUGGGGUGCAAGCUCUUGAUCGAAGCCCCGGUAAACGGCGGCCGUAACAAUAACGGUCCUAAGGUAGCGAAAUUCCUUGUCGGGUAAGUUCCGACCUGCACGAAUGGCGUAACGAUGGCCACACUGUCUCCUCCUGAGACUCAGCGAAGCUGAAGUGUUUGUAAGAUGCAAUCUCCCCGCGGCUAGACGGAAAGACCCCAUGAACCUUUACUGUAGCUUUGCAUUGGACUUUGACGGGACUUGUGUAGGAUAGGUGGGAGGCGAUGAAACCGGGACGCUAGUUCCGGUGGAGCCAUCCUUGAAAUACCACCCUGGUGUCGUUGAGGUUCUAACCUAGGUCCGUAAUCCGGAUCGGGGACCGUGCAUGGUGGGCAGUUUGACUGGGGCGGUCUCCUCCCAAAAGGUAACGGAGGAGUACGAAGGUCUUCUAGGUACGGUCGGACAUCGUACUGAUAGUGCAAUGGCAAAAGAAGGCUUGACUGCGAGACCGACAAGUCGAGCAGGUGCGAAAGCAGGUCAUAGUGAUCCGGUGGUUCUGUAUGGAAGGGCCAUCGCUCAACGGAUAAAAGGUACUCUGGGGAUAACAGGCUGAUUCCGCCCAAGAGUUCACAUCGACGGCGGAGUUUGGCACCUCGAUGUCGGCUCAUCACAUCCUGGGGCUGUAGCCGGUCCCAAGGGUAUGGCUGUUCGCCAUUUAAAGUGGUACGUGAGCUGGGUUUAAAACGUCGUGAGACAGUUUGGUCCCUAUCUGCCGUGGGCGCUGGAUAUUUGAGGGGGCCUGCUCCUAGUACGAGAGGACCGGAGUGGACGAAUCUCUGGUGUACCGGUUGUGACGCCAGUCGCAUCGCCGGGUAGCUAAAUUCGGAAGAGAUAACCGCUGAAAGCAUCUAAGCGGGAAACUCGCCUCAAGAUGAGAUAUCCCUGGGAACUAGAUUCCCCUAAAGGGUCGUUGAAGACCACGACGUAGAUAGGCUGGGUGUGGAAGU